rnacentral:pre_miRNA from 1 species
UGACUUACACCCACUACUUCAAGACCAUCAGGGACUUAUGGGACAAGAUUCUCACUGCCACCAUUGAGAACUUCAGGAUUGUCCUGAUGACCAACAGCACCCAUCUGGCUGCAGAUG